AUUGAACGCUGGCGGCAUGCCUAACACAUGCAAGUCGAACGGGGGCAGCAAUGCCCUAGUGGCGGACGGGUGAGGAAUACGUAGGAACCGGCCCACGAGUGGGGGACAACCUGGGGAAACCCAGGCUAAUACCGCAUACGCUCGCGAGAGGAAAGCGGGGGGACCUUCGGGCCUCGCGCUGGUGGACGGGCCUACGUCCGAUUAGCUUGUUGGUGGGGUAAAAGCCUACCAAGGCGACGAUCGGUAGCUGGUCUGAGAGGAUGAUCAGCCACACUGGGACUGAGACACGGCCCAGACUCCUACGGGAGGCAGCAGUGGGGAAUAUUGGACAAUGGGCGCAAGCCUGAUCCAGCAAUGCCGCGUGGGUGAAGAAGGCCUCGGUGUAAGCUCUUUCUAGCAGGAACGAAACGGUAGGCCGACUAAUACUGGCUACUAAU
rnacentral:rRNA from 1 species